UGGGGAAUUUUGGACAAUGGGGGAAACCCUGAUCCAGCCAUCCCGCGUGUGCGAUGAAGGCCUUCGGGUUGUAAAGCACUUUUGGCAGGAAAGAAACGACAUGGGUUAAUACCCCGUGAAACUGACGGUACCUGCAGAAUAAGCACCGGCUAACUACGUGCCAGCAGCCGCGGUAAUACGUAGGGUGCAAGCGUUAAUCGGAAUUACUGGGCGUAAAGCGUGCGCAGGCGGUUCGGAAAGAAAGAUGUGAAAUCCCAGAGCUCAACUUUGGAACUGCAUUUUUAACUACCGGGCUAGAGUGUGUCAGAGGGAGGUGGAAUUCCGCGUGUAGCAGUGAAAUGCGUAGAUAUGCGGAGGAACACCGAUGGCGAAGGCAGCCUCCUGGGAUAACACUGACGCUCAUGCACGAAAGCGUGGGGAGCAAACAGG
rnacentral:rRNA from 1 species